rnacentral:rRNA from 1 species
GAGUUCGAUUCAGGCUUAGAUUGAACGCUGGCGGCAGGCCUAACACAUGCAAGUCGAGCGGUAACACAAGGGAGCUUGCUCCUGAGGUGACGAGCGGCGGACGGGUGAGUAACGCGUGGGUAUCUGCCCUGGAGUGGGGGACAACCGCUGGAAACGGCGGCUAAUACCGCAUACGCCCUUAGGGGGAAAGCUUUAUGCGUCGGACCUCACGCUAUCAGAGGAGCCUGCGUUGGAUUAGCUUGUUGGUGAGGUAAAAGCUCACCAAGGCGACGAUCCAUAGCUGGUCUGAGAGGAUGAUCAGCCACACUGGGACUGAGACACGGCCCAGACUCCUACGGGAGGCAGCAGUGGGGAAUAUUGGACAAUGGGGGCAACCCUGAUCCAGCUAUGCCGCGUGUGUGAAGAAGGCCUUCGGGUUGUAAAGCACUUUCAGCGAGGAGGAAAGGUUAUGGGUUAAUACUCAAUAGCUGUGACGUUACUCGCAGAAGAAGGACCGGCUAACUCCGUGCCAGCAGCCGCGGUAAUACGGAGGGUCCGAUCGUUAAUCGGAAUUACUGGGCGUAAAGCGCGCGUAGGCGGUUAAAUCAGUCAGAUGUGAAAGCCCUGGGCUCAACCUGGGAACUGCAUCUGAUACUGUUUAACUAGAGUUUGGUAGAGGAGUGUGGAAUUUCCUGUGUAGCGGUGAAAUGCGUAGAUAUAGGAAGGAACACCAGUGGCGAAGGCGACACUCUGGACCAAAACUGACGCUGAAGGUGCGAAAGCGGGGGACAAAACAGGAUUAGAUCCCCUGGUAGUCCACGCCGUAAACGAUGUCUACUAGCCGUUGGGAGACUUGAUCUCUUAGUGGCGCAGCUAACGCAAUAAGUAGACCGCCUGGGGAGUACGGUCGCAAGAUUAAAACUCAAAUGAAUUGACGGGGGCCCGCACAAGCGGUGGAGCAGGUUUAAUUCGAAGCAACGCGAAGAACCUUACCCGCUCUUGACAUCCACAGAACUUUCCAGAGAUGGAUUGGCGCCUUCGGGAACUGUGAGACAGGUGCUGCAUGGCUGUCGUCAGCUCGUGUUGUGAAAUGUUGGGUUAAGUCCCGUAACGAGCGCAACCCUUGUCCUUAUUUGCCAGCGAGUUAUGUCGGGAACUUUAAGGAGACUGCCGGUGACAAACCGGAGGAAGGUGGGGACGACGUCAAGUCAUCAUGACCCUUACGAGCGGGGCUACACACGUGCUACAAUGGCCAGGACAAACGGUUGCAACCCCGCGAGGGCAAGCUAAUCUGAGAAACCUGGUCGUAGUCCGGAUCGCAGUCUGCAACUCGACUGCGUGAAGUCGGAAUCGCUAGUAAUCGUGAAUCAGAAUGUCACGGUGAAUACGUUCCCGGGCCUUGUACACACCGCCCGU